UACAGAGGGUGCGAGCGUUAAUCGGAAUUACUGGGCGUAAAGCGUGCGUAGACGGUUAUUUAAGUCGGGUGUGAAAGCCCCGGGCUCAACCUGGGAAUUGCAUUCGAGACUGAAUAGCUAGGGUACGGUAGAGGGAAGCGGAAUUUCCGGUGUAGCGGUGAAAUGCGUAGAUAUCGGAAGGAACACCAGUGGCGAAGGCGGCUUCCUGGCCUGUUCUUGACGCUGAGGCGCGAAAGCUAGGGGAGCAAACGGG
rnacentral:rRNA from 1 species